UACGGAGGGUGCAAGCGUUAUCCGGAAUCACUGGGUUUAAAGGGUGCGUAGGCGGCUUAGUAAGUCAGUGGUGAAAGACUGUGGCUUAACCAUGGAAUUGCCAUUGAUACUGCUGAGCUUGAAUCGAGGUUGAGGUUGGCGGAAUGUGACAUGUAGCGGUGAAAUGCUUAGAUAUGUCAUGGAACACCGAUUGCGAAGGCAGCUGACUGGACCUGUAUUGACGCUGAGGCACGAAAGCGUGGGGAGCGAACAGG
rnacentral:rRNA from 1 species